GUGGAUUAGAUACCCUGGUAGUCCACGCCCUAAACGAUGUCUACUAGUUGUUGGGUCUUAAUUGACUUAGUAACGCAGCUAACGCGUGAAGUAGACCGCCUGGGGAGUACGGUCGCAAGAUUAAAACUCAAAGGAAUUGACGGGGACCCGCACAAGCGGUGGAUGAUGUGGAUUAAUUCGAUGCAACGCGAAAAACCUUACCUACCCUUGACAUGGCAGGAAUCCCGGAGAGAUUUGGGAGUGCUCGAAAGAGAACCUGCACACAGGUGCUGCACGGCCGUCGUCAGCU
rnacentral:rRNA from 1 species